ACAAACCGGAGGAAGUGGGAUGACGUCAAGUCAUCAUGGCCCCUAUGUCCAGGGCUACACACGUGCUACAAUGGGCGAUACAGAGUGACGCGAAGCCGCGAGGUGGAGCAAAUCGCAGAAAAUCGCUCUCAGUUCGGAUUGGAGUCUGAAACCCGACUCCAUGAAGGUGGAAUCGCUAGUAAUCGCGCAUCAGCAUGGCCGCGGUCGAAUACGUUCCCGGGCCUU
rnacentral:rRNA from 1 species